GCUAACGCAUUAAGUGCCCCGCCUGGGGAGUACGGCCGCAAGGCUAAAACUCAAAGGAAUUGACGGGGGCCCGCACAAGCGGCGGAGCAUGCGGAUUAAUUCGAUGCAACGCGAAGAACCUUACCAAGGCUUGACAUGAACCGGAAAGACCUGGAAACAGGUGCCCCGCUUGCGGUCGGUUUACAGGUGGUGCAUGGUUGUCGUCAGCUCGUGUCGUGAGAUGUUGGGUUAAGUCCCGCAACGAGCGCAACCCUCGUUCUAUGUUGCCAGCGCGUUAUGGCGGGGACUCAUAGGAGACUGCCGGGGUCAACUCGGAGGAAGGUGGGGACGACGUCAAAUCAUCAUGCCCCUUAUGUCUUGGGCUUCACGCAUGCUACAAUGGCCGGUACAAAGGGUUGCGAUACUGUGAGGUGGAGCUAAUCCCAAAAAGCCGGUCUCAGUUCGGAUUGGGGUCUGCAACUCGACCCCAUGAAGUCGGAGUCGCUAGUAAUCGCAGAUCAGCAACGCUGCGGUGAAUACGUUCCCGGGCCUUGUACACACCGCCCGUCAAGUCACGAAAGUUGGUAACACCCGAAGCCGGUGGCCUAACCCUUGUGGGGGGAGCCGUCGAAGGUGGGACCGGC
rnacentral:rRNA from 1 species